rnacentral:rRNA from 1 species
UGGGGAAUAUUGCACAAUGGGCGCAAGCCUGAUGCAGCAACGCCGCGUGAACGAUGAAGGUCUUCGGAUCGUAAAGUUCUGUUGCAGGGGAAGAUAAUGACGGUACCCUGUGAGGAAGCCCCGGCUAACUUCGUGCCAGCAGCCGCGGUAAUACGAAGGGGGCUAGCGUUGUUCGGAUUUACUGGGCGUAAAGCGCACGUAGGCGGACUUUUAAGUCAGGGGUGAAAUCCCGGGGCUCAACCCCGGAACUGCCUUUGAUACUGGAAGUCUGGAGGAUGGUAGAGGUGAGUGGAAUUCCGAGUGUAGAGGUGAAAUUCGGAGAUAUUCGGAGGAAAACCAGUGGCGAAGGCGGCUCACUGGACCAUUACUGACGCUGAGGUGCGAAAGCGUGGGGAGCAAACAGG